rnacentral:rRNA from 1 species
AAUGAACGCUGGCGGCAUGCCUAACACAUGCAAGUCGAACGACAGCACAGGAAGAUCUUGCUCUUGCGGGUGGCGAGUGGCGGACGGGUGACGAAUGCAUCGGAUACCUCUUUUUCGGGGGGGAUAACGCAGGACAACGUACGCUAACACAGCAUAUAUCGCACCGGUGUGAGCAGGGGAUCUUGUCGCCUUUUGCGAUUGUAUGAGCCGAGUCCGGAUUAGCUAGUUGGCUGGGUAAAGGCCCACCUCGGCGACGAUGCGUAGCUGGUCUGAGCGGAUGGUCGGCCACACUGGAACUGAGACACGGUCCAGACUCCUACGGGAGGCAGCAGUGGGGAAUCUUGCGCAAUGGGCGAAAGCCUGAUACAGCAAUACCGCGUGAGUGAUGAAGGCCUUCGGGUUGUAAAGCUCUGUUGUUGGGAAAGAAAAAAAGCAGAUUUAUCCCUGGCUGUUAUGACGGUACCCAAAGAAUAAGCACCGGCUAACUACGUG